rnacentral:misc_RNA from 1 species
GCCCUCACCAUCGGUACCCCGCCCACCCGCCUUACUUAUUCGUCAUUUCCGAAGAUGUUUCAUGGCUCAGAUAGAAAGACAAGCACACGUUUUACUCAGAGCGAAAAAGAAGAAAACAUGUGAAGAAAGCGUGCGCGCACGCACACAAGAGAGCGAGCCGUAAUGUUUGAGGGGGAGUUGAACAGCAGCACAGCUGAGCUCUCAGACUCCUUUCUGCUACCCCGCUCAACUCGGCGCAUGGUCUCACUCUCACUGAAAACCCUCCACACGCCCCAAAAAGACAAGGCCACGUUGAGGCGCAUCGAUGUUGAAGCGCUCGUUUCUUUGUUCGAUAUAAAACAGAGAAGUGACGAAAAAGGGGGAGACCUCUUCGUGCCCGUGUGCGUGUGUGUGCUCAUCGUCACAUCCGGAAAGCGCACAUGUAUUUCCCGUCAGUUCAGCCAACCCGAGUGGGUGUUUUAGUCGGCACGGUGCCGACGGUAGAGAACGUGUGCUCGUUUCUCUUUUCGCCUCUGCCCUUUCACUUCAGACGCUGCAGUCUUUUUCCCGCCAGGGAACCUUCCCCCCCUCCUGCCCUCCAUGCACGAGUGCGCCGCCUCUCUGCUCACUUGUGAUGAACGCUACAAUCUUUUCGGCUCUCUCAUCUGCACUCUUUCCCUUUCUCCUCCCCGCCGCACCUCCUUCCCUCGGCAUGCCCGCGCACGCGCAUCGCGGAUGAACUGGAGUGCCUUUCACGGAGUCUUCUUGUUUGCACUGUUGUCCUUUCGCCUCUCUCCCGCUCUUCCUUUUUUUUGCUCACCGCCACCCUCGCGUCGCAUCCGUGAACGUGUCUGUUCGUAUGGAGCGAAG